rnacentral:rRNA from 1 species
CCUACGGGAGGCUGCAGUGAGGAAUAUUGGUCAAUGGGCGCAAGCCUGAACCAGCCAAGUUGCGUGAGGGAUGACGGUCCUAUGGAUUGUAAACCCCUUUUGUCGGGGAGCAAGUCCCGCCACGUGUGGCGGGAAGGAGAGUACCCGAAGAAAAAGCAUCGGCUAACUUCGUGCCAGCAGCCGCGGUAAUACGGGGGAUGCGAGCGUUAUCCGGAUUUAAUGGGGUCAAAGGGUGCGUAGGCGGAAGGUUAACUUAGCGGUAAAAUGUCGGUGCUCAACACCGGACUGCCGUUGAAACUGGUCGUCUUGAGUGAGCGAGAAGUAUGCGGAAUGCGUGGUGUAGCGGUGAAAUGCGUAGAUAUCACGCAGAACACCGGUGGCGAAGGCAGCAUACCGGCGCUCAACUGACGCUGAGGCACGAAAGCGUGGGGAGCGAACAGGAUUAGAUACCCGAGUAGUC